GAUGAACACUAAUUGCACGCCUAAUACAUGUAAGUCGAACGGGUGGUAUCAAUACCAUCAUUGGCGCACGGGUGCCUAACGCCUAACCUAACUACCUACAUCUGAGAGAUAGCCCGCCGAAAGGCGGAUUAAUACCGCAUAUACCAGCAUUCUGGCAUCAGUGUAAUUGGGAAAGAUUUAUUGGAUGAAGAUGGGGUUGCGUGCCAUUAUUCUAUUUGGUGGGGUAACGGCCCACCAAUGCGACGAUGGCUAAGGUACCUGAGAGGGUGAUCCCCCACUCUGGUACUGACAUACAGUUCACACUCCUACUGGAAGCAGCACUAAGGAAUAUUGUGCAAUGGGUGACAGCCUGACCCAGCCAUGCCGCUUGCUCGAUGAAAGCCUUCUAGGUAGUAAACUGCUUUUCUCGGUUAAUAAAAAUGGGAUGCAAUCCCAAACUGACGGUACCUGAUGAAUAAGCACCGGCUAACUCCGUGCCAGCAUCCACCUUAAUACCGAAGGUGCCAGCGUUGACCCUAUUUAUUGUGUUCUAAGGGUGCGUACGUGGCACGGUAACUCACGCGUGAACUCCUCUGCUCAACCAGUGGACCUGCCCUGUAUACUGGCGUGCUUGCACCCCAGACGAGGUUGGGAGCAAUGGAUGGUGUAGCGGUGACACGCAUAGAUACCAUCCAGAACCCCCGAUUGCGUAGGCAGCUGACUACGCUGGUACUGACCCUGAGGCACGAAAGCGUGGGGAGCGAACAGGAUUAGAUACCCUGGUAGUUCACGCCGUAAACAAUGGAUACUCGUUGCUAGCGAUACACCGUUAGUGACUUAGCGAAAGCGUUAAGUAUCCCUCCUGGGGAGUACGCUCGCAAGAGUGAAACUCCUAGGAAUUGACGGGGGCCCGCACAAGUGGUGGAGCAUGUGGUUUAAUUUGAUGAUACGCGAGGAACCUUACAUAGGAUAGAAUGCGCGUGACCGGCUCAGAGAUGAGCUUUUCCUUCGGGACACAAAGCAAGAUGCUGCAUGGCCGUCGUCUCCUCGUGCCGUGAGGUGUUGGGUUAAGUCCCGCAACGAGCGCAACCCCUACUGUUAGUUGCCAUCGGAUUAUGCCGGGGACUUUAAUAGGACUGCCUGCGCAAGCAGUGAGGAAGGCGGUGACGACGUCAGGUCAUCAUGGUCCUUACGCCUAGGGCUACACACGUGCUACAAUGGACGGUACAGAGGGUCGCUACACUGCGAAGUGAUGCCAAUCUCCCAAAGCCGUUCUCAGUUCGGAUCGGAGUCUGCUACUCCUCUCCGUGCAGCAUGAAUCACUCAGUAUCGCGUAUCACCAAUGACGCGGUGAAUACUUUUCUCCGGGCU
rnacentral:rRNA from 1 species